rnacentral:snRNA from 1 species
GGAUGUGAGGGCGGUCGCUGUGACCAUUAAUUGCUAGGUUUGAUUGGCUGACCUGACUAGGCAGGUGCCUUGUUCCUCCUUCAUUGCUCCAUAUGUCCCUCAAAUAGUCAAGGGUUUACAAGCAGCUGUGCUUCCCUUUGAACCUCACAAGAGUCAGAACUUUUUGACUUUUGUAAUUUGCUUCUAUCUAUAUAAAGCAUUUCUUACCAAGUGUAUCUCUUCCUUAGAAAACUGUCUAUU